UGGAUCCUGAUUGGGUAUUGAUCGUUUCAAUCGUGUUGGCUAUCUUGCUCCUGUUGAUCAUCAUCAUCAUCAUCAUCAUAUGGUGGAAAAGACGUCGACAACAACCUACAGUCGGGCAGACCAAUAUACAGUUUGAUGAUGCAAGGCCUGACACCCUGGGUCACAGCACAGAGGACACGAAGUCCGGACCACACUCCAAGUCUGACGCCCUGGAUCAUAGCAUAGAGUACACGGAUUCCGGAUCACACUCCAGAUUGUGACAAUUGUGAAGUGGAAUUACUCUCAAUUAAGGUUAUCUUCCAUGAAAGGGCGGAGGUCCUCAAAGAGUCCGAGUCAUAAAUCCUCAAACAGUCAUAGAGACAAGUCCUCAGAAAGACAGCAUCAUAAAUCCCCGGAGUGACGCUGACACAAAUCCUCGGAAAAACAUUGAAAAAGAGAUACUGUCCUCAUGUGUCAAUCACGUGUUAGUUUAUUCAUUAUUUGAUGAUGUUCUGUAAUGGAAAUUUAAUGGAGAGGUGUAAAUAAAGUGUAAAGAAGGA